UCAUGACCUAUGUUCUGUCUUCUAUAAAUACCAACCAAACCCUAUGUAUAGUUGCUAUGUUUUGCCGCUUCUGAGAGGGUUACUGAGGGGGACUGAAAGGCGUUGAAAAAGAUUGUCCCCCUCCCUUUUCCUGUUCUGUUUGCUGGAUCAUAUUUUUGUUAAUACCAAUUACCAACUCGGGUGCCAAUGUUUACUCUUGUACAUUUUUGGGUUGAGCUCAUUGAUCUCCUAAUUCUCUCCAUUUUUCUAUGAUUGCUCCACUGAUUUCACAUUACAUGUACACUUGGUACCAUUAAAGAGAGUUCGUUAUAGAAAAUUAGACUUGAUUUUGUUGGGUACAUAUUGUUUCAGCACACUCCCAUCAACAGCAUCAUCAUACCCUACUCUACCCCUGGGGCCAUACUUUAAGCAGCACAAGCCACUCCUAUAUUCCAAACCAUCCAAAUUCAACUCUCUUUCAAUAAAUGGCCACAGAAGGAUCUGUGAUCUCUUUGAUUUGCAUCAAGAGCAAGUACCUUAUGAAGUGGCCUGGUCUUUGGCAAAAGGAGAUUGUCAGGGAAAAGAAGGCACACAUUGAAAAGGAAGGAGAUUGCAUUGACACCCUUAUUAUUCUACAACACCCUUCUGUUUAUACAUUAGGUACAGCUAGUAUGGAGGAGAACCUCCAGUUUGACAAGAAAAAAUGCUCGGUUUUUUUUCCUGCAUUACAUCUUUUCUCUUCUCAUUUUUUUCAAAAAUACCCUAAACUACACCUGUUCUUGAAGUUUGGAGAGAAGUUUCUCUUUGGUUUUGUUUUGUUUUGUUUUUUUUUUUUUUAAUUUAAAAAAGAAUUAAUUUUUUGAUUAAAAUUUUAAAGUUAAGAGGUCGUGUUAGGAACCCUACUUUUCUUUGGUUUCAUUUUUUUAAAAUUAAUUCACUUGUUUUUUUAAAAUAUUAUUUUUGCAUUAAAAAAUAGAUGCAGGUCAUCAAUCUUUUUUUUUUUUUUUUCAUUCUAUGUUAACCAUCUUUUUUCAUUCUCUAUUAACUAAUGACUAAUUUGUGGAUGAAUUUACCACUGACUAUCUUUCAUUUUUCAAUAGCCUUAACCAUAAUAUAACCCUAGAGAUGGCAAUAUUUUUCAUUUUUCAAUAGCCUUAACCAUUUAUUUGAAACUAGUAAAUCACAAAACAUAAAGGAAUUCUAUUCUUAUGGAAUUAUGUAUUCUUUAUGCUUUUUGAUAGUUGAUUAAAAUUUCCAAAACGAAAGAAAUGAUGUCACAAGCCUGUUUUUUCCCCACUUCAAAUACUCACAAUUUCUUGCACCUUUUCUUCUAUUUUUUUUUUUGUAACUCAUUCAACUAGGAAUUCUUUUCUGCUUUUUUUUUUCUUCUUCACAAAGACUUCUUUAGACAUCUUAACUUUUGGAGGAGUUCUAAUAAUUCAGGGCACCCCUAAUUCCCAUUUCAAGUUUUCUAGUUCUAAUAGCUCCUUCAUUGGUAGCUUUUCCACAAGUUCACAGGUGACAUUCUUCCUCUAAUUCAAACCAUUCUACUGCCAUGCUAUGUAAAUGUUAUCACUACAGAACAUAGGUUUGCCAGAAAACACCAAAUUGUUGUCGGAAAGUCAUUGAAGAACAGUGAAUCAAUGGGGCAUAGUAACAGGGUUAUAGAGAAGAGGAAGCACAAAAAUGAGAAGAGACACACCGAGUUUUCCCAAACCAAGUUUUAAAUUCUUUUAUUUUGAGGUGCUAUCGCAUGCUAUUAACAUUAUUAGCAAGAGAUGUCAUAGUGGCAUGGUUGCAACAAUAAGGUGCUAUGAAUCAGGACCACAUAGGAAUUGGCUGUACUACAAUUGCAAGGAAAUGGUUAGCAAAUUCCUUGGAUGAAUGAAUCAACUGGAGAGCUAUAAACGUCAAACAAGCAUAGGAAUUGUGUUGAGAGGCAGCGUUUUACAAGAGAAUGUGACUUUUGUAGAAAUUGGUUAUGUAAAAGCUGGGGUAGAAGUUCUUAAAAAAGAUUGAAAUCUUGAGUUGAUGUAUCUCCCAUGGCAUUGCAAUAAAUAGGCAAAUUUUAGAACCUGUAAAAUCUACCAUGGCAUUGCAAUUGACUAGAUUAACAGGCCAUGCAAUGCUGUGAAUCCAAAUUCAAGACAAUGCACCAGUGCUAAGAUCCUACUUUUUCAUGUUGUAUUUGUUUUUCUAAACAUUCAUGUCAUGUAAUUUUGCAAGUAUAUGACAUUAGUAAUUCAUGUUAACAAGUGGCAAGGUUUUGGUUUGAUAAGCUAAUAAUGUUUUUAACAGUGACCAAACUUUGCUAUCUUCAAUUUU